rnacentral:rRNA from 1 species
GCAAGUCGAACGAGAAAUUUCCGCUUCGGUGGAAAAAGUAAAGUGGCGCACGGGNGNGUAACGCGUGGGUAACCUGCCUUUGAAUCUAGGAUAACCCCGUAGAAAACGGGACUAAUACUGGAUAAUGUCCCUUUGGCUGUGGCCUUAGGGAUGAAAGGUGACCUCUUCAUGAAAGUUGCCGUUCAAAGAGGGGCCCGCGUACCAUUAGCUUGUUGGUGGGGUAACGGCCUACCAAGGCUACGAUGGUUAGCUGGUCUGAGAGGAUGAUCAGCCACACUGGAACUGGAACACGGUCCAGACUCCUACGGGAGGCAGCAGUGAGGAAUUUUGCGCAAUGGGGGAAACCCUGACGCAGCAACGCCGCGUGAGUGAUGAAGAUUUUCGGAUCGUAAAGCUCUGUCAAGCGGGAAAAAAUUCUUUCGGUUAAUACCCGAAAGAACUGAUGGUACCGCUGGAGGAAGCACCGGCUAACUCCGUGCCAGCAGCCGCGGUAAUACGGAGGGUGCAAGCGUUGUUCGGAUUUACUGGGCGUAAAGAGCGUGUAGGUGGUUUAGCAAGUCAGAUGUGAAAGCCCUGGGCUCAACUCAGGAAGUGCAUUUGAAACUGCUAUUCUAGAGUAUGGGAGAGGAGAGUGGAAUUCCCAGUGNAGAGGUGAAAUUCGUAGAUAUUGGGAGGAACACCGGGUGGCGAAGGCGACUCUCUGGACCAAUACUGACACUGAGACGCGAA